CUGAGAUAACAGGGCAGGCCCUUGUGAUGCCACACGAGUGAAUGCUUCCACUAAAUGGUGCAAAAUGGUGCUUAUUUGUUCUAGUGAUAAAUAAGAACAUGUUGUCACCGAGCCAGAAGAGAAGAAGAAGAAGAAAGGCAGGAUAAAACAGACCCAAAGACCAUCGUGAACUGGACAGGAGCUAAGGCAGUUUUAAAACGAUGUCAAGACAGCAGGAAGCCCAAUCUGC